UACAGAGGGUGCAAGCGUUGUUCGGAAUUAUUGGGCGUAAAGGGUGCGUAGGCGGUGCGGUAAGUCUGUAGUGAAAUCUCUGGGCUUAACUCAGGGGCUGCUUCCGAAACUGCCGUGCUUGAGUGCGGGAGAGGCGAGUGGAAUUGCAGGUGUAGCGGUGAAAUGCGUAGAUAUCUGCAGGAACACCCGUGGCGAAGGCGGCUCGCUGGACCGCAACUGACGCUGAGGAACGAAAGCUAGGGGAGCAAACAGG
rnacentral:rRNA from 1 species